AGUGUUCAUUCUGCCUGAAAAUCAAUUACAGUAGAAUCCCGAUUAUCCGCGGAAUAGUCGGGCUAGAUCACCACGUAUAACGAAAAUCGCGGAUAACGCAAUAAAGGGCUAAAAGUGAGGUGCAAGCAUUGAAAAAAGAUAUUUUUAGCAUGAAAACCAUGUUUUAUCAAUACAGAAAAUAUUGAACUAUCCAUCUGUAUGGUCGUGUACAUCAGUGAUCAGAUAAUGUGAAAGCCAUGACCAAAACAAAAGAGCAUGAGUCUACCACUCACUGACAAAUUUCGGGAAGGUUUAUAGAUUUACUAAGGAACUCGUAGUCGCGGAUCAUCCGCUCGCGGAAAAUCGAGGUUCUACUGUAUUAUCUCUUACUCUUACCUAAACUUGUAAACAAAGAUUAAUUCGCGUUGACAAAUGGAACAUACAACUGAUAGUCUUUGGCAAAUUUAUCUAUCUAUUACAUAUCAUUGCAAGCAGAAGAGAAUCCGCUGCAAGUCAAUUCCAACCUACGAACACUAUUCGAAAACUUGAUUCCCCUUCAGCGUCAGCGCCAGAAGAAAAUACGAAAGGUGAAUUUUGGAUUGAUAUUUUUCGGAGAAGGAGCUUGCAAGAAGUUGAUUAGAGACUACAGUUUCGGACUCAACAUGUUUCUCGGCCGUUAGCGGAGCCCGUAGACCAUGACAAACAAGUUGGCAAACACAUGUGUUACAAUCGGUUCGAAAACAUACCGCCGUCUAGCUAUUCGGUGAAACCGGCUGAGAUUCCUGAUUAUUAUAAUUAUAUCAAAUACCCGAUGGAUUUGAAAACGAUGGGGGAAGGACUGAAAAAUAGGCGAGCUUGACAGUAAAAAAUUGUCUAUAUUUUUCCAUUCAUUGCCGCUUAAUACUCAUUCUAGAUAUUACGAAGCAUGAAGAUUGUUCGUGGCAGAUAUUGCGCGUAUUUUCUGAACUGUCGAUCACCAGAAUCUGAAUAUUAUCGGUGCGGGAACACGCGUUACUAUCACACCAAGAUGAUAGAGAUCUGCCUUUGGGAUAAAUGAUGUUGGCUACUCCCAUCCGUGGCUCCGAUGGCUACACCUACCGAUUCAUGUGCAAGCUGAUGCAAAAGACCUGCGAACUUCGUGUUGUUUUGAUAUUGCCGAGGAACUGCUAAGACAUCUAAUUGUGAAAAGAUUCUUACAUACUAUGUUUGUGGAUCGAACAACAAACUCUACCGGAACGAGUGCCACAUGAGGAAAGAGAAUUGUGGUUAGCGCAUGUUCGUAGUGCCGAUGCAGUAUUGUCCGGCCACAU